GACCUUCUGGCGCAGUGGUAGCGUGCCAUGGCUUCAAUCCACUCCCGCCGAGAACCCAGGAGACUACUCGGUCUUCGGGGGGACCAGGGCGAAGUAUUGGCAUGUUAUGGAGGUCCUGAGUUCGACUCUCAGGUUGGUCA